rnacentral:rRNA from 1 species
UACGGAGGGUGCAAGCGUUAUCCGGAUUCACUGGGUUUAAAGGGUGCGUAGGAGGGCAGGUAAGUCAGUGGUGAAAUCUCCGAGCUUAACUUGGAAACUGCCGUUGAUACUAUCUGUCUUGAAUAUUGUGGAGGUGAGCGGAAUAUGUCAUGUAGCGGUGAAAUGCUUAGAUAUGACAUAGAACACCAAUUGCGAAGGCAGCUCGCUACACAUAUAUUGACUCUGAGGCACGAAAGCGUGGGGAUGAAACAGG